GAUGAACGCUGGCGGCGUGCCUAAUACAUGCAAGUCGAGCGAACGGACGAGAAGCUUGCUUUUCUGAUGUUAGCGGCGGACGGGUGAGUAACACGUGGAUAACCUACCUAUAAGACUGGGAUAACUUCGGGAAACCGGAGCUAAUACCGGAUAAUAUUUUGAACCGCAUGGUUCAAAAGUGAAAGACGGUCUUGCUGUCACUUAUAGAUGGAUCCGCGCUUCAUUAGCUAGUUGGUAAGGUAACGGCUUACCAAGGCAACGAUGCAUAGCCGACCUGAGAGGGGGAUCGGGCACACUGGAACUGAGACACGGUCCAGACUCCUAAGGGAGGCAGCAGUAGGGAAUCUUCCGCAAUGGGCGAAAGCCUGACGGAGCAACGCCGCGUGAGUGAUGAAGGUCUUCGGAUCGUAAAACUCUGUUAUUAGGGAAGAACAUAUGUGUAAGUAACUGUGCACAUCUUGACGGUACCUAAUCAGAAAGCCACGGCUAACUACGUG
rnacentral:rRNA from 1 species